rnacentral:rRNA from 1 species
GUCUACAGCCAUUCCACCCUGAGUGAGCCUGAUCUCGUCUGAUCUCGGAAGCUAAGCAGGGUCGGGCCUGGUUAGUACUUGGAUGGGAGAGAGAGUGAGCUUCCGUCCACUGGUUCACU